rnacentral:rRNA from 1 species
UACGAAGGGGGCUAGCGUUGCUCGGAAUCACUGGGCGUAAAGGGUGCGUAGGCGGUUCUUUAAGUCAGGGGUGAAAUCCUGGAGCUCAACUCCAGAACUGCCUUUGAUACUGAAGAUCUUGAGUUCAGGAGAGGUGAGUGGAACUGCGAGUGUAGAGGUGAAAUUCGUAGAUAUUCGCAAGAACACCAGUGGCGAAGGCGGCUCACUGGCCCGAUACUGACGCUGAGGCACGAAAGCGUGGGGAGCAAACAGG